GAACCAAACUCGAGUAUGUGACAAAUCAUCCAUGAGUGCGAACGGAAGAGGUGUAUAAAUAGAAAGAGAGGGGGAUAUUUAUCCUCGAAAAUUUCCCCUUGGGUUGGUUCUGCCUGGGCAGUUAUGUCACUGUAGCAGUGUCGAGCUGUCAUCCGGUGCGCGUGGCGCUCUGUGCAAAGUGCGCUCCGUUUUUAUUUGGUUAAAAAAGGGCGUAAAAUUGUGCUUGAUUGUGUGAUAGAUAUUGUGCACAAUGCAGAGUGCCUCUAAGAGUAAAAUGAAGUGUGCGAUAAGUGCUCGAUUUUUUAGCACUGCUGGAAUGACACAAAUUAUCGGUAAGUGCGUGUAUUGUUGUUUGCGAUGCUAGGUAGGGCUAGAGUAACUGCUGGAAACUACUCGAAUUUGCUGAGGGUGUUUGGUAGUGAGCGUGAAGGUAACAGGUGUGCUAGGAAGGUGCUAAAACUAAUCGUAUUGCGGUCAGUGCUAAACCGCUGCAUUUCAGGAUUACGACGGACAUCUGCAUUUAAACGCUAAUUGGGAGGUCGGACGGGUCGCUGUAUGUAAGUAUAGUGGUAAUCGUUUUAUGUUUUCGCCUUGCUGCUGUUUGUCACACAUCGAAUUCAAAGCAAAAGUUUUAUUAUUCAAGCAGAACACGCAAUGUGAACCCCAUUUUCCGUUUGGUUCCUUUUUUGCUGGUUAAAGGUAAUGAUAAUUAGUAAAUUGCACAUUUUUUCCAAUUGCAAUGUAUCUAACAAUGUAUCUACUAAUUUAAGAUGGAUGCGAAGAACUGGACGGUAAUAGUAACGAACAAAUACAGUCAACGAUGGCAAAGGAGAUGUUGCGGAAGCGUAUAACAGGCCUGGGCAUCCAGAUGGAUGUGACGAAUGAGAGAAUGGACAAACUCAUCGCAAUGUCGCAGCAAGGGGAGAAGAGCCAGGUCGUUUCUAAUACUAGCCCACCUUAGCCACCUGAGCCCACCUCUGAGACAACAUCGCUGCUGUAAAUUAUAAUCAAAGUGCGGGCGACGCCCUCAAUCUAAUGAUAGGGCUAAGCCUUUUAGUGUAUGUAUCUGUAUGUUUAGUGUGUGUAGUGUAUCUCCAUUGAGGUAAUGAUAGAUACGUUUUGCCAACAUCUGAAAAUAAAUUUUGCAGAAAAAGUUA